rnacentral:rRNA from 1 species
AUUGAACGCUGGCGGCAGGCCUAACACAUGCAAGUCGAACGAGUGGCGGACGGGUGAGUAAUGUCUGGGAAACUGCCCGAUGGAGGGGGAUAACUACUGGAAACGGUAGCUAAUACCGCAUACCAUCGGAUGUGCCCAGAUGGGAUUAGCUUGUAGGUGAGGUAACGGCUCACCUAGGCGACGAUCCCUAGCUGGUCUGAGAGGAUGACCAGUCACAUGGGAACUGAGACACGGUCCAUACUCCUACGUGAGGCAGCAGUGGGGAAGAUUGCACAAUGGGCGCAAGCCUGAUUCAGCCAUGCCGCGUGUAUGAAGAAGGCCUGCGGGUUGUAUAGUACUUGCAGAGGGGAGGCGUUACCCGCAGAAGGAUCACCGGCUAACGACGUGCCAGCAGCCGCGGUAAUAC